GAUUUAGCCAUGCUAGUUGCACGAGUUCAGACUCGUAGCAUAUAGCUCAGUAACACGUGGCCAAACUACCCUACAGACCGCGAUAACCUCGGGAAACUGAGGCCAAUAGCGGAUAUAACUCUCAGACUGGAGUGUCGAGAGUUAGAAACGUUCCGGCGCUGUAGGAUGUGGCUGCGGCCGAUUAGGUAGAUGGUGGGGUAACGGCCCACCAUGCCGAUAAUCGGUACAGGUUGUGAGAGCAAGAGCCUGGAGACGGUAUCUGAGACAAGAUACCGGGCCCUACGGGGCGCAGCAGGCGCGAAACCUUUACACUGCACGACAGUGCGAUAGGGGGACUCCGAGUGUGAGGGCAUAUAGCCCUCGCUUUUCUGUACCGUAAGGUGGUACAGGAACAAGGACUGGGCAAGACCGGUGCCAGCCGCCGCGGUAAUACCGGCAGUCCGAGUGAUGGCCGAUAUUAUUGGGCCUAAAGCGUCCGUAGCUUGCUGUGUAAGUCCAUUGGGAAAUCGACCAGCUCAACUGGUCGGCGUCCGGUGGAAACUACACAGCUUGGGGCCGAGAGACUCAACGGGUACGUCCGGGGUAGGAGUGAAAUCCUGUAAUCCUGGACGGACCACCAAUGGGGAAACCACGUUGAGAGACCGGACCCGACAGUGAGGGACGAAAGCCAGGGUCUCGAACCGGAUUAGAUACCCGGGUAGUCCUGGCUGUAAACAAUGCUCGCUAGGUAUGUCACGCGCCAUGAGCACG
rnacentral:rRNA from 1 species